rnacentral:lncRNA from 1 species
CCAAAUAAAGAAUUCUCUCUCAAAUAUGCUACCACCCAAAAUGCACAGUAACAAAAUUGUGAGGCCCCUCAAGCGCUGUCAUGAACAACGUCCCACAAACACAAUGUCCAUACCAAAAAUCUACACCAUGUGACGAUUAUCAUGUGCCCAAACAGUGAUGAGAAAAUAAACAGAUAACUCUUGUUACAACUCUUGCCGCACAUGACUAACAAAAAUAAUAAGGCUAGUUUUUUUUUGCGUGUAAAAUAAUAAGGCUAGUGAAUAUAUUAAGUAGACUCGAAUUGUGAAGCGUCUUCAUAACAUGUGAGGCCAUACAUUAAUUUGCAGGUGCAGCUCCUGUAACCUCUGAUCUGCAUUUGCAAAACCAAUCUUUCAUCCAUUAGAGACAAAAUACUGGCACAAAAAUAGAAGACCGUCAUAAGAUGCUAACGAUGCUUGCUAUUCGAAUGAAGCUGUAACAAGAUCUCAAACGGAAGAAAAUAACAUCACCGUCACCUUAUAACAUACUCCCUCCGUUCAGAAAUAACAUAUUACAGGAGAUUAGUAAGCUAUGAAGGCCAUCUCCAAUGGACGUACGCUAAUUUAGAUGCACUCGCAUUUACAAUGCUAAGCACGUUAGCAUAGGCAAACUGCUGGUGUGGCAGCCACAACGUUGGGAUGAAAAAAAAUCCUUAUAACUAAUUAAAUACAUUACUUAUAAUAACUAAUUAAAUACAUUACUUAUAUAGAACCCAAUGCAUAAAAUACACAAGAAACAGACAGGCGCCAGGCACAAAAUUGAACGCCAGGUUUAGGGUGGAAAUAAAUUCUACACUAGCAAAACUACCGGGAUUAUUUCCCCUAGCAACAACCUUAAGCAUCCCAUUGGAGAUGGCCGAAGUGAUCAGAAGAGACGUGAGCACAUUUGUCCAUUCACAGCCUAGGACGUUCAUACAAAGAUUUAAAUCGCCGGCGAAAUCUGCCCGCGAUUUGCAUGGCUCGGUAAAUCGCCGGAGAUCGCGGCGCUAUCGCGGGCGAUUGUGCCAUUCCUUCGUUAACCGUCGCAGCAAAAAUCUCAGCUGCGAUUCACCUUCGCCCGCGAUUUUAAUCUAUGCGUUCAUACAUCCCAAUCCCACAAAACAAGAAAAUUAUUCUGAUAAAGCUUAACAUAACCAAGAAACCAGGCUCAACAUAACCAACAAACUAACAAGGUAUUGCAAUGUAAACAACUUUACACUAUACAAUAGCAUAUCAAAGAUUAAUCUUCUCUUUUUUCUCAAAAAAAUAAAUAAAUAAUCAUAACCCAUGCCAACAGGACUGUUGUUGAAUUAUAGUUCAGACAAGAUUGGUAUAUACUAUAUCUGAGGUGACAAGCUUAACAUCGCUUGAAAAUUCUUUCUAGUGAGUUAUCAUAGUAUAGCCAUAAGCCAAGCAUGCUGAACUGGCCAGAUCUUGUCAUAAGUUAUCUUCACCAUCACAUCCCCUAAUAUACACAGUUGUCAUAAAUGUUAACUACAAUGAUCAAAACAGUGGAUGCGAUCAUUUAACCAAUGACCACUGCAUUGACAGGUGUUCAAAUUGACCAUGUCAUCUCUAUUUAUACGUACUAAAUAAAAGCACACGAAAUAGCAGUCAUCUCCAACAAGCGACCAAAGGAGGGUUAGGUGGAUUGUGUAAUUGGUUGACUGGAACAGCAAGGAAGUCUCCUGGAGAGGCAAACAAACACAUCGCUCGAAUAAUUCUGAAGAUACCAAGCCAGACAAUGACAUAGCUAGCAUAAAUCCGUUUAGAACAAGGAUACAGGAUACAUGCCCAGUAGUGACAGCUAGUUGCGAGAACUGUGUCAGUGCACUGCAAGAACAUGUUGGAGAAAAUAACUGUACACAUUGAUUUUGUACAGUUUCGUAACCAUGAUUUUCUUAGCAACAGAACUCAAAAGUGUUAUUCUGGUCCACAAUGAUGCCAUGCAUGCCGCCCGAGCAUUGGAGUGCUAGUAUAUUUUGAACUGCAAAAACGUCUUAUAUAUUGGGACAGAGGUAGUACUAUCUAGACACUUCCAAGUCCUGAGAAAUGCAAGUUUGGCCUAAAUUGGGUACAUUUGUUUUCCCUCUUUUUUGCAGAUUGGGUGUAUUUGUUCUAACAAAACACAGCCAGCAUAUGCUGCUAGAAUUAAGGAUACCAAUCAUUAUUCCGUUUUAACUAUAGAGGGUAUAUGCCCUGUAGUGACAGCUAGUUGCAAGAACCAUGCCAGUGCACUGUACUCCAGGAGAAGAGUACAUGUUGGAGAAAUAACUGUAGACAAUUAUCUUGAAAAAGUUUCAUCAGCAAGAUUGUCUUAGCAACAAAAACCACAAGCAUUAUUCUGACCCACUAUUCGUGCCAUGCAUGCUGUCCGGGAAUUGGAAUGGUCGUAUAUGGCACCUUUAAUGAUACUACCUAGACAUUUCCUUGAGAUAUGAAGUUUAGUUGAAAAUGGGUAACUUUAUUAUGGCAUAUUUAUACUGAAGGGCCAGUAUAUAAUUGAAGAAUUUCCACAGCUUUUCACAGUUGGUUUGGUUCCAUGAUACUAUAACUGAAUUGGCAGAUGCCAACACCUACAACUCUUAAGCUCAAACAACACAGGGUUGCUAAAAAAUAGAAUGCUAAAUAUUAUUAGAUAGCCUUCUGUCUUGUUAUCAAAUUGGCGAUGCCAAAUGAUACUUAUUUGUCUUUGGCAAGAGGCUGAAUUUCAAAGGCCCAUGCGUUAAUCAUGAUUCAAUGAUUUGGACUUACUGUUAAAAAUAUCUGCCAAUUAAUCCCUGCUCGGUUGGUCACCAAGAUUAACAGAUUUAUCAGCCGAAGAAUUGGCCGAUUCGCCUACUAAUCCCCUACUCUCCAGCUUACCAAGAAGUUACCAGUUAAUGAUUUCCUGAACAUUAUUUUUUUUCAGUAGUUUAUAUAUGGAGGGAUCAAUCAAUGACAAAAGGUGUGUAUGUUAGUGCAGCAAAAGCAAAUGAAAACAGGGACACUUCUAGUUCAACCAAUGCUACCAUAGAAGCAUAUUUUAACUACAAAAUAAAUUUGCAUCACAUGAUCACAACAUAGAUUUCAGACUGAUUAUACACAAUUGUGUCACAACAUGUGUCAAGCUAAAGACAUGCAGAAGAAAAAACAUCUGCAAUUUUGUGAUUUAGGCCAAGGGAAGAAAAAACAUCUGCAAUUUUGUGAUUUAGGCCAAGGAACUAUUUCUGGGCAGGGAUAUAGGAAGGUACUGAUACUCUGUACCACAGCAUUACUCUAAACAUUUCUCAUUUUAAGGAAAAAAAAUCAACCUAUCAUGAUGUUCAAAUGAACCACGCACAUCAUGUUGCUAUCAUGGGCACCUUACAAGCUGAUGAAUAGGCAGCAAAUAGCAGCAUUUGUUUUUUUAGCGUACACCUCUAGAAAAUAAAGUGCAAUAACAGGACCAAUCAAUUCAGGAAUAGAACAUAAAAUUCCCAUAACAAAAAACUAAACACUAGAACAUGACAUGAUCAACCAUGGAAAGGCAAUUUAAUCAAUGUUUAGAGGGAUGAAAUCAGUUAUCAGACCCUUGUUCAGAUAGUACUUCAGCCUCAACUGCAGUAGGUUUCUUCCACACUCUGUCAGUACUCCUCUCCAGCACUUCGCCGUUCUCGUUCUCCUCGCCUUGGACUGGGGAAACCCUCCUCCCAGAGGACCUAACCUCAGGUGGUGCUUCACNNNNNNNNNNNNNNNNNNNNNNNNNNNNNNNNNNNNNNNNNNNNNNNNNNNNNNNNNNNNNNNNNNNNNNNNNNNNNNNNNNNNNNNNNNNNNNNNNNNNUGUGUGUGUGUGUGUGUGUGUGUGUGCUGUCUUUAGUACACACCCUCUUCCAUACACAUUUUCCUUUAACUAAAAUUAACUGCAACCUUUUCAGUUAACUCAAACAUUCAUUCUCUUCUCUGAACUGUUUGUUAUGUAAAACUGUCGUUGAUGAACUGUUGCUGCUAUGUCAAACUGUUGUUGUUGUAUGCUGCUACUACUGCAUUACUGUUUCUGCUGAUGUACUCAAUUAUUGUUUCUGCUAAUGUACUCAAUUACUGCUGAUGGAGUAUGUCAAAUUGCUGCUGCUAUGAAACAGUUUGAGUCAAAUUGAUGCUACUGCUGCUGCUACUCGAUUACUGCUUCUGGUCUUCUCAAUUACUCAAGUGAUCAAUUGAUUUGCAGGAGAAGGAGCAACAGCCAUGGAGUACUCCAGGAGCAGAUCAUGCCCAAAGGGACCACACCCAGGAGAUGGUCGUGGAUCAAACUGCUGCGCCCCGGGGCUGGUGCUUGUGAUGAGCGACGAGGAGAAGCAGGGACCUGGGAGCGCAUGGAUGAUGGAUGCGCGAAGGAUGAGCGCCUUGGACCUAGAUGAUGGAUUCGCCUGGGGCCUGGGAGCGACGGAGGAUGGACGCCUGGGAGUGCCGAGGAGAAGCGAUUUGAAAUCCUAGGAGCAAAGGGGGAAGACGACGAUGGGGAUAGCGAUUCAAAACAGGGGUAGCGUUGUAAAUUCCUUCAUUUCAAAACAGGGCCUCGAAAUGUUCUCUUCAACGCCAUAUAUUUCAAAACGGUGGGAGCAGUUUCAUGCCUAUAUUGAGCACCAUUGUGUCUCGCUCCCAUCACAAUUGAAUAUUUCUCCAUUGUAUUGUUAUCGUAUAUGAAUACGCAUGAUAAACCUGGAUUACUAUCGAUGCUUCAAAACAUUUGGACCGACACCCAUCAUACAAGUACUGCACAUGUUUCUACUGCUUUUGUACGCACAGAUCUAUUUAGCUAAGAAAAAAAAGGGCCCGCCAAAAAAUUGAAGUUCAGGACAGUCACAUAGUGUACUAGAGGCAAAAUGGUCUAUUUACCUCACACUGAACACCGUAAGUGACAAAAAUAGACUGAAAUGUCACCGAGGGAACAAAAUAAAGUUUUGAGUGUCAAAAUGGGAAGAACAAAUUGUUUUGGGCCAAAAAGGGAAGGGGAUUUUAAGAAUGGGACAAAAAGGGAAGGGGAUUUUAAGAAAGGCCAAAUAAAGAAUUCUCUCUCAAAUAUGCUACCACCCAAAAUGCACAGUAACAAAAUUGUGAGGCCCCUCAAGCGCUGUCAUGAACAGCGUCUCACAAACACAAUGUCCAUACCAAAAAUCUACACCAUGUGACGAUUAUCAUGUGCCCAAACAGUGAUGAGAAAAUAAACAGAUAACUCUUGUUACAACUCUUGCCGCACAUGACUAACAAAAAUAAUAAGGCUAGUUUUUUUUUGCGUGUAAAAUAAUAAGGCUAGUGAAUAUAUUAAGUAGACUCGAAUUGUGAAGCGUCUUCAUAACAUGUGAGGCCAUACAUUAAUUUGCAGGUGCAGCUCCUGUAACCUCUGAUCUGCAUUUGCAAAACCAAUCUUUCAUCCAUUAGAGACAAAAUACUGGCACAAAAAUAGAAGACCGUCAUAAGAUGCUAACGAUGCUUGCUAUUCGAAUGAAGCUGUAACAAGAUCUCAAACGGAAGAAAAUAACAUCACCGUCACCUUAUAACAUACUCCCUCCGUUCAGAAAUAACAUAUUACAGGAGAUUAGUAAGCUAUGAAGGCCAUCUCCAAUGGACGUACGCUAAUUUAGAUGCACUCGCAUUUACAAUGCUAAGCACGUUAGCAUAGGCAAACUGCUGGUGUGGCAGCCACAACGUUGGGAUGAAAAAAAAUCCUUAUAACUAAUUAAAUACAUUACUUAUAAUAACUAAUUAAAUACAUUACUUAUAUAGAACCCAAUGCAUAAAAUACACAAGAAACAGACAGGCGCCAGGCACAAAAUUGAACGCCAGGUUUAGGGUGGAAAUAAAUUCUACACUAGCAAAACUACCGGGAUUAUUUCCCCUAGCAACAACCUUAAGCAUCCCAUUGGAGAUGGCCGAAGUGAUCAGAAGAGACGUGAGCACAUUUGUCCAUUCACAGCCUAGGACGUUCAUACAAAGAUUUAAAUCGCCGGCGAAAUCUGCCCGCGAUUUGCAUGGCUCGGUAAAUCGCCGGAGAUCGCGGCGCUAUCGCGGGCGAUUGUGCCAUUCCUUCGUUAACCGUCGCAGCAAAAAUCUCAGCUGCGAUUCACCUUCGCCCGCGAUUUUAAUCUAUGCGUUCAUACAUCCCAAUCCCACAAAACAAGAAAAUUAUUCUGAUAAAGCUUAACAUAACCAAGAAACCAGGCUCAACAUAACCAACAAACUAACAAGGUAUUGCAAUGUAAACAACUUUACACUAUACAAUAGCAUAUCAAAGAUUAAUCUUCUCUUUUUUCUCAAAAAAAUAAAUAAAUAAUCAUAACCCAUGCCAACAGGACUGUUGUUGAAUUAUAGUUCAGACAAGAUUGGUAUAUACUAUAUCUGAGGUGACAAGCUUAACAUCGCUUGAAAAUUCUUUCUAGUGAGUUAUCAUAGUAUAGCCAUAAGCCAAGCAUGCUGAACUGGCCAGAUCUUGUCAUAAGUUAUCUUCACCAUCACAUCCCCUAAUAUACACAGUUGUCAUAAAUGUUAACUACAAUGAUCAAAACAGUGGAUGCGAUCAUUUAACCAAUGACCACUGCAUUGACAGGUGUUCAAAUUGACCAUGUCAUCUCUAUUUAUACGUACUAAAUAAAAGCACACGAAAUAGCAGUCAUCUCCAACAAGCGACCAAAGGAGGGUUAGGUGGAUUGUGUAAUUGGUUGACUGGAACAGCAAGGAAGUCUCCUGGAGAGGCAAACAAACACAUCGCUCGAAUAAUUCUGAAGAUACCAAGCCAGACAAUGACAUAGCUAGCAUAAAUCCGUUUAGAACAAGGAUACAGGAUACAUGCCCAGUAGUGACAGCUAGUUGCGAGAACUGUGUCAGUGCACUGCAAGAACAUGUUGGAGAAAAUAACUGUACACAUUGAUUUUGUACAGUUUCGUAACCAUGAUUUUCUUAGCAACAGAACUCAAAAGUGUUAUUCUGGUCCACAAUGAUGCCAUGCAUGCCGCCCGAGCAUUGGAGUGCUAGUAUAUUUUGAACUGCAAAAACGUCUUAUAUAUUGGGACAGAGGUAGUACUAUCUAGACACUUCCAAGUCCUGAGAAAUGCAAGUUUGGCCUAAAUUGGGUACAUUUGUUUUCCCUCUUUUUUGCAGAUUGGGUGUAUUUGUUCUAACAAAACACAGCCAGCAUAUGCUGCUAGAAUUAAGGAUACCAAUCAUUAUUCCGUUUUAACUAUAGAGGGUAUAUGCCCUGUAGUGACAGCUAGUUGCAAGAACCAUGCCAGUGCACUGUACUCCAGGAGAAGAGUACAUGUUGGAGAAAUAACUGUAGACAAUUAUCUUGAAAAAGUUUCAUCAGCAAGAUUGUCUUAGCAACAAAAACCACAAGCAUUAUUCUGACCCACUAUUCGUGCCAUGCAUGCUGUCCGGGAAUUGGAAUGGUCGUAUAUGGCACCUUUAAUGAUACUACCUAGACAUUUCCUUGAGAUAUGAAGUUUAGUUGAAAAUGGGUAACUUUAUUAUGGCAUAUUUAUACUGAAGGGCCAGUAUAUAAUUGAAGAAUUUCCACAGCUUUUCACAGUUGGUUUGGUUCCAUGAUACUAUAACUGAAUUGGCAGAUGCCAACACCUACAACUCUUAAGCUCAAACAACACAGGGUUGCUAAAAAAUAGAAUGCUAAAUAUUAUUAGAUAGCCUUCUGUCUUGUUAUCAAAUUGGCGAUGCCAAAUGAUACUUAUUUGUCUUUGGCAAGAGGCUGAAUUUCAAAGGCCCAUGCGUUAAUCAUGAUUCAAUGAUUUGGACUUACUGUUAAAAAUAUCUGCCAAUUAAUCCCUGCUCGGUUGGUCACCAAGAUUAACAGAUUUAUCAGCCGAAGAAUUGGCCGAUUCGCCUACUAAUCCCCUACUCUCCAGCUUACCAAGAAGUUACCAGUUAAUGAUUUCCUGAACAUUAUUUUUUUUCAGUAGUUUAUAUAUGGAGGGAUCAAUCAAUGACAAAAGGUGUGUAUGUUAGUGCAGCAAAAGCAAAUGAAAACAGGGACACUUCUAGUUCAACCAAUGCUACCAUAGAAGCAUAUUUUAACUACAAAAUAAAUUUGCAUCACAUGAUCACAACAUAGAUUUCAGACUGAUUAUACACAAUUGUGUCACAACAUGUGUCAAGCUAAAGACAUGCAGAAGAAAAAACAUCUGCAAUUUUGUGAUUUAGGCCAAGGGAAGAAAAAACAUCUGCAAUUUUGUGAUUUAGGCCAAGGAACUAUUUCUGGGCAGGGAUAUAGGAAGGUACUGAUACUCUGUACCACAGCAUUACUCUAAACAUUUCUCAUUUUAAGGAAAAAAAAUCAACCUAUCAUGAUGUUCAAAUGAACCACGCACAUCAUGUUGCUAUCAUGGGCACCUUACAAGCUGAUGAAUAGGCAGCAAAUAGCAGCAUUUGUUUUUUUAGCGUACACCUCUAGAAAAUAAAGUGCAAUAACAGGACCAAUCAAUUCAGGAAUAGAACAUAAAAUUCCCAUAACAAAAAACUAAACACUAGAACAUGACAUGAUCAACCAUGGAAAGGCAAUUUAAUCAAUGUUUAGAGGGAUGAAAUCAGUUAUCAGACCCUUGUUCAGAUAGUACUUCAGCCUCAACUGCAGUAGGUUUCUUCCACACUCUGUCAGUACUCCUCUCCAGCACUUCGCCGUUCUCGUUCUCCUCGCCUUGGACUGGGGAAACCCUCCUCCCAGAGGACCUAACCUCAGGUGGUGCUUCACNNNNNNNNNNCCCACCCACCGCGCGCCUCCCGCGCCACCCAGGCAAUGGAUCCAGCCCCACCGUGCAGCCCACGUGACGGAUCCGGCCGCCGUAGGCCCACAGCACAGUCCCGGUGACUCCCUGGACCUUUCUGCCCUCGAUCUCACCUGCUCCCCUCAGUGUUUCUCCAUCGUCACCAAGCUGUUGCAUCCACAUCCCUCCCUCCUCUUUGGCCAUGACGGCGACCUGUGAUGGGCUCCCACGGCUACCUACAUGGGUCCUCACGUGCAGUUUGCCGGCGCGCAGCAGCACCCGCGUUCAUUUCGCUGAGGGGCAGAGGCCCCCGCAUGUAGUUCUCCGGCAGGAAGUGCGGCAGCACCACCCGUGUAGUUAAGUAGCCCCCCACUAUAGUUGGCCAUGCUGCCAUAUGCAGUUUGCUGGAGGGACAGAGAAGGUUCUCUCAUCAGGGGGAGUCGACGUCGCAACCUUGCAGUCCACAGCGAGCCGCACUGCAUUCAUGUAGUUUGCGUGUACCAUGAAGUCCACUGUUAGCUCUCGUUUGUUACAAAAAUUUGGUGGUUCACUUCUGUUUAUGGAAAACACGAGGAGUAUACUUUCUUUUUGGAUGUGGUUCACUUGUACUAUGCGUUGGUUGAUUUUCAUGUUUUAAAAGUUUUGCACUUCCCAUGUUCAGUUUCCGAGAAGUUCUAAAUUGUUGCUGAUUUGGAAUGGGCAUAUGCAGUUCGGCAGAUGGUCAAGCAGUGCACCAUGGUCCACGGGCAUGGGAAGUGCGGCGUGUGGGUGCAUGCAGUAUGCAACGCUCCUGUUCUACUAUUUUUUCUUGAACUGGCUACUGCUGAUUUUGUGUGUAUGUAUGUGUGUGUGGCUGUGCAAAAGAAAAGAUGGAUGUAUUGUGUCCAUGAGCAUCAUCGUACUUUGUUUUAUGUUUUGUGAGGUUCAUUUGUUCUUUAAAUUACUCAAAGAAUGUUGGUGCAAGGUAAAAAAAAGUUGAUGCAAAGAAAUGUAAUUUUAAAUGCAGUCCACUCGCCUCAUUCAUGCAACUCGCUAACAUUGAUCAUGUGGUCGAGAUAAAUUUGAAAGUGCUCCUAAACCGUAGUGAAUUAGAGAAAGUAAUAUGACUAUUUUGUAGACUCCACGCAUGGUAGGGCCUCUCUUCUAUAGACUCAGUACUUGCAGUAUCUCGGAGCAUCUUGGAGUAGCUUCUUGGAGACUUACGGUAUCAUCUUGGAGUAGUUAGAGUACUCCAAAAAGACAGUGGUUAGUGGAGGAAGAGAGUUUCUUCAACAUACUCCAUCUGAAGAUUUAAGUGCAGUAUUCCUUGCAGUAAUUAUUACAGCGUUGCUAUAGUUUUGUUAAGUAUAGUACUCCUUGCAAUAAAUAUUCAGAGAAGGUGUUAAUUUUGCACAUGAAGCUACUGUUAAUGGAUUAGCUGAUCUGGUGUACUAACAGAGAAGGUGUACGGUUAAUUACAGUAUUCAGAGCACUGUUAAUUUUGGACUAUCUUGUUUCUGCUAAUGGAGUAGUUAUUCAGAAAAGGUGAUCUGGUGCAGUAGCUUGAUUUGGUGCAGAAGUUUGAUCUGAUGUAGUGAUUUUUCAGAGCAGUAGCUGAUCUUGUGUAGUAGUUAUUCAAAAAUUGAUGUAGUGCAGCUUCUCUUCUCUUUCUCUUCUCUUCUCUUCUCUUCUCUUCUCUUCUCUUCUCUUCUUAACAGUAGCAGUGCAGCUCUAGAGGAGUACUCCAUUAACAGUAGCAGUAUAUCUUCUCUUCUUUUCUCUGCUUACAAGGGGAGUAUUCCAGUAAUUUAUGUAGUUGAGCUAGCUCUUCUCUUCUCUGAAUACAGUAGUCGAGGUACAAAAAUUUUGGGAGUACAGUAUGCUGGAGUAAUAUGUUGGGAGUACAAAGAAUUUUGGCCUAAUAUAUGGAGUACUCUCUUUCCUGGAGCUAUGGAGUACUCUAGCAGUAGUUGUUGAGGAGUACAAAGAAUUUCAGUAAAGUUUCUCUUCUCUUCUCCUCUAGAGCUUCUCUUAUCUUCAUUUCUUUGUUGGAGUAGCUGUUGAGCACUAGCAAUAAUUAAAAUUUCUCUUCUCUUCUCAUCCUGCUUCAUUUAAACUCUCUCUCUCUCUCUCUCUCUGUGUGUGUGUGUGUGUGUGUGUGUGUGUGUGUGCUGUCUUUAGUACACACCCUCUUCCAUACACAUUUUCCUUUAACUAAAAUUAACUGCAACCUUUUCAGUUAACUCAAACAUUCAUUCUCUUCUCUGAACUGUUUGUUAUGUAAAACUGUCGUUGAUGAACUGUUGCUGCUAUGUCAAACUGUUGUUGUUGUAUGCUGCUACUACUGCAUUACUGUUUCUGCUGAUGUACUCAAUUAUUGUUUCUACUAAUGUACUCAAUUACUGCUGAUGGAGUAUGUCAAAUUGCUGCUGCUAUGAAACAGUUUGAGUCAAAUUGAUGCUACUGCUGCUGCUACUCGAUUACUGCUUCUGGUCUUCUCAAUUACUCAAGUGAUCAAUUGAUUUGCAGGAGAAGGAGCAACAGCCAUGGAGUACUCCAGGAGCAGAUCAUGCCCAAAGGGACCACACCCAGGAGAUGGUCGUGGAUCAAACUGCUGCGCCCCGGGGCUGGUGCUUGUGAUGAGCGACGAGGAGAAGCAGGGACCUGGGAGCGCAUGGAUGAUGGAUGCGCGAAGGAUGAGCGCCUUGGACCUAGAUGAUGGAUUCGCCUGGGGCCUGGGAGCGACGGAGGAUGGACGCCUGGGAGUGCCGAGGAGAAGCGAUUUGAAAUCCUAGGAGCAAAGGGGGAAGACGACGAUGGGGAUAGCGAUUCAAAACAGGGGUAGCGUUGUAAAUUCCUUCAUUUCAAAACAGGGCCUCGAAAUGUUCUCUUCAACGCCAUAUAUUUCAAAACGGUGGGAGCAGUUUCAUGCCUAUAUUGAGCACCAUUGUGUCUCGCUCCCAUCACAAUUGAAUAUUUCUCCAUUGUAUUGUUAUCGUAUAUGAAUACGCAUGAUAAACCUGGAUUACUAUCGAUGCUUCAAAACAUUUGGACCGACACCCAUCAUACAAGUACUGCACAUGUUUCUACUGCUUUUGUACGCACAGAUCUAUUUAGCUAAGAAAAAAAAGGGCCCGCCAAAAAAUUGAAGUUCAGGACAGUCACAUAGUGUACUAGAGGCAAAAUGGUCUAUUUACCUCACACUGAACACCGUAAGUGACAAAAAUAGACUGAAAUGUCACCGAGGGAACAAAAUAAAGUUUUGAGUGUCAAAAUGGGAAGAACAAAUUGUUUUGGGCCAAAAAGGGAAGGGGAUUUUAAGAAUGGGACAAAAAGGGAAGGGGAUUUUAAGAAAGGCCAAAUAAAGAAUUCUCUCUCAAAUAUGCUACCACCCAAAAUGCACAGUAACAAAAUUGUGAGGCCCCUCAAGCGCUGUCAUGAACANNNNNNNNNNNNNNNNNNNNNNNNNNNNNNNNNNNNNNNNNNNNNNNNNNNNNNNNNNNNNNNNNNNNNNNNNNNNNNNNNNNNNNNNNNNNNNNNNNNNNNNNNNNNNNNNNNNNNNNNNNNNNNNNNNNNNNNNNNNNNNNNNNNNNNNNNNNNNNNNNNNNNNNNNNNNNNNNNNNNNNNNNNNNNNNNNNNNNNNNNNNNNNNNNNNNNNNNNNNNNNNNNNNNNNNNNNNNNNNNNNNNNNNNNNNNNNNNNNNNNNNNNNNNNNNNNNNNNNNNNNNNNNNNNNNNNNNNNNNNNNNNNNNNNNNNNNNNNNNNNNNNNNNNNNNNNNNNNNNNNNNNNNNNNNNNNNNNNNNNNNNNNNNNNNNNNNNNNNNNNNNNNNNNNNNNNNNNNNNNNNNNNNNNNNNNNNNNNNNNNNNNNNNNNNNNNNNNNNNNNNNNNNNNNNNNNNNNNNNNNNNNNNNNNNNNNNNNNNNNNNNNCACAAACACAAUGUCCAUACCAAAAAUCUACACCAUGUGACGAUUAUCAUGUGCCCAAACAGUGAUGAGAAAAUAAACAGAUAACUCUUGUUACAACUCUUGCCGCACAUGACUAACAAAAAUAAUAAGGCUAGUUUUUUUUUGCGUGUAAAAUAAUAAGGCUAGUGAAUAUAUUAAGUAGACUCGAAUUGUGAAGCGUCUUCAUAACAUGUGAGGCCAUACAUUAAUUUGCAGGUGCAGCUCCUGUAACCUCUGAUCUGCAUUUGCAAAACCAAUCUUUCAUCCAUUAGAGACAAAAUACUGGCACAAAAAUAGAAGACCGUCAUAAGAUGCUAACGAUGCUUGCUAUUCGAAUGAAGCUGUAACAAGAUCUCAAACGGAAGAAAAUAACAUCACCGUCACCUUAUAACAUACUCCCUCCGUUCAGAAAUAACAUAUUACAGGAGAUUAGUAAGCUAUGAAGGCCAUCUCCAAUGGACGUACGCUAAUUUAGAUGCACUCGCAUUUACAAUGCUAAGCACGUUAGCAUAGGCAAACUGCUGGUGUGGCAGCCACAACGUUGGGAUGAAAAAAAAUCCUUAUAACUAAUUAAAUACAUUACUUAUAAUAACUAAUUAAAUACAUUACUUAUAUAGAACCCAAUGCAUAAAAUACACAAGAAACAGACAGGCGCCAGGCACAAAAUUGAACGCCAG